UACAGAGGAUGCAAGCGUUAUCCGGAAUUAUUGGGCGUAAAGCGUCUGUAGGUGGCUUUUUAAGUCCGCCGUCAAAUCCCAGGGCUCAACUCUGGACAGGCGGUGGAAACUACCAAGCUGGAGUACGGUAGGGGCAGAGGGAAUUUCCGGUGGAGCGGUGAAAUGCGCAGAGAUCGGAAGGAACACCGAUGGCGAAAGCAGCGCGCUGGACCUUUACUGACGCUGAGGCGCGAAAGCCAGGGGAGCAAACGGG
rnacentral:rRNA from 1 species